AGCGAACGCUGGCGGCAUGCUUAACACAUGCAAGUCGCACGGAGGGGCAACCCUCAGUGGCGGACGGGUGAGUAACGCGUAGGUAUCUGUCCAUGGGUGGGGGAUAACAGCGGGAAACUGCUGCUAAUACCGCAUGACACCUGAGGGUCAAAGGCGCAAGUCGCCUGUGGAGGAGCCUGCGUCCGAUUAGCUUGUUGGUG
rnacentral:rRNA from 1 species